rnacentral:piRNA from 1 species
UCAGUAGAUGGCUGCUUGAUCCUAUU